AUAAAAUCUAGAGUAGAAAUUGAUGAUUUUAUGAAAUUUAACGCAAAGGGGGGGGGAAAAAGAAAAGUUUAGUGCUAUAGUGACUGGCAACUAUUUUUAAUGAUUGAUCUUUAAAAAUAUUUUUCUUGUAAUCACAAAUAAGUGACUUUCUUUAUAUACCAUAAUUAACUGUGCUUUGCAUAUCAAACUGAACAGUUUUGUGGCUGUGAAGUGUUUUGAAGUAUAAAGCAUAUCAUUUCUGUCAAUUUGCUUCUUGAGAUCAAGGGA
rnacentral:misc_RNA from 1 species